GAAAAACCAAGUUAACAUAAAGUACCUGUUUCCAAGAACUGCAUGAAGUUCUAUUAUCAAAUUCUCUUCUUGCUGUGAGAAUGGGCCUCUCUUCAAAUCAGGCCUCAGGGUCCAAGUCAGCUUCUUGAACUACAAACAGUGGGCUCCACCGCUAUCCGACGGUCCAGAUUGCAACUGAAAGUGCCUAGUUGAUGGAUAGGAUCAUAUGAGUGAGAUGGAGCUCCAAUUAUUUGACUUUGACAAGUCUCAUCAAGGUUUGAGAAUUUAAGAAUUUGGCUUCACUUCUUGAGCAUUUGUUGAAAGAUAUAUAAUCCGUCCAUGGAAAAGCUUGGACUAGGAAAAAAAAAAACUUGUCUUAGAGGCGCGUGUUAAUUAAGUUUUUAGGUGAUGAAAAUGAACCAGUCUACAAAACAUAUUUGGUAAAAAUGGAAAAUGACAACUCUUUAGUUCG